rnacentral:miRNA from 14 species
UGUUAAUUAUGCGUGUGUGUGCAUGUACAUGUGUGUGCACAUAUAUGUGCACAUGCACACACACACACACAUGAGUGUA